UACGAAGGGUGCAAACGUUGCUCGGAAUCAUUGGGCGUAAAGCGCACGUAGGCGGCUUCGCAAGUCGGAUGUGAAAUCCCUCGGCUCAACCGAGGACGUGCAUCCGAAACUGCGGAGCUUGAGUACUGAAGAGGAUCGCGGAAUUCCCGGUGUAGCGGUGAAAUGCGUAGAUAUCGGGAGGAAUACCUAUGGCGAAAGCAGGCUACUGGACCGUCACUGACUCUGAUCUGCGAAAGCUAGGGGAGCAAACAGG
rnacentral:rRNA from 1 species